rnacentral:rRNA from 1 species
UACGUAGGGGGCUAGCGUUGUCCGGAAUCAUUGGGCGUAAAGGGCGCGUAGGUGGCCCGGUAAGCGUGCGGUGAAAGCUUGGGGCUCAACCCCGAGUCGGCCGUGCGAACUGCUGGGCUUGAGCACUGUAGAGGCAGGCGGAAUUCCGGGUGUAGCGGUGGAAUGCGUAGAGAUCCGGAAGAACACCGGUGGCGAAGGCGGCCUGCUGGGCAGUAGCUGACACUGAGGCGCGACAGCGUGGGGGAGCAAACAGG